GUCUUCGUAGUGUAGUGGUCAGCGCUCUCGGCGCGUAUUCGAGAGGUCCGUGGUUCGAGUCCCGGUGAGAACA
rfam:Stegodyphus mimosarum contig48722, whole genome shotgun sequence.